UCAAGUUAUUAAGGGUGCAGGGCGGAUGCCUUGGCACUAGGAGCCGAUGAAGGACGUGAUAAGCUGCGAUAAGCUUCGGGGAGUUGCACGUAAACUUUGAUCCGAAGAUUUCCGAAUGAGGAAACUCACUUAGAGUAAUGUCUAAGUAUCAUUAAGUGAAUACAUAGCUUAAUGAGGGGAACUCAGGGAACUGAAACAUCUAAGUACCUGAAGGAAGAGAAAGAAAUUCGAUUCCGUAAGUAGCGGCGAGCGAACGCGGAUUAGCCCAAACCAAUAAAGUUUUCUUUAUUGGGGUUGCGGACAUAUCAUAACGAAGAGGUAUCGUAAUUGAAGAGGUUUGGAAAGACCCACCACAGAAGGUAAUAGUCCUGUAUGUUAAACGAGAAGACUUCAGAUAUGAUCCAGAGUACCACGGGACACGUGAAACCCUGUGGGAAGCAGGAGGGACCACCCUCCAAGGCUAAAUACUACCUAGUGACCGAUAGCGUAUAGUACCGUGAGGGAAAGGUGAAAAGAACCCCGGGAGGGGAGUGAAAUAGAACCUGAAACCCUGCACUUACAAGCUGUGGAAGCACAUUUCUUGUGUGACCGCGUACUUUUUGUAGAACGGGCCAACGAGUUACGUUAAGUAGCAAGGUUAAGCACUUAAGGUGUGGAGCCGUAGCGAAAGCGAGUUUUAACUGAGCGUUCAGUUACUUGACGUAGACCCGAAACCGGGCGACCUACCCAUGAGCAGGAUGAAGCGAAAGUAAAAUUUCGUGGAGGUCCGAACCCACGAGCGUUGAAAAGCUCGGGGAUGACUUGUGGGUAGCGGUGAAAUUCCAAUCGAGCCCGGAGAUAGCUGGUUCUCCCCGAAAUAGCUUUAGGGCUAGCCUCAAGGUGAGAGAUACGGAGGUAGAGCACUGAAUGUCCUAGGGGGUAUUGCACCUACCGAAGACUAUCAAACUCCGAAUGCCGUCAUCUUAUACUUGGGAGUCAGACUGUGGGUGAUAAGAUUCAUAGUCGAAAGGGCAACAGCCCAGAUCGUCAGCUAAGGUCCCUAAAUGUAAGUUAAGUGGUAAAGGAUGUGGGAUUGCACAGACAACCAGGAUGUUGGCUUAGAAGCAGCCACUCAUUCAAAGAGUGCGUAAUAGCUCACUGGUCGAGUGAUCCUGCGCCGAAGAUUUCCGGGGCUAAAACUUACUACCGAAGCUACGGCAUCAGUAAUGAUGGGUAGGGGAGCUUCCCAUACGGGUUGAAGCAUGACCGUAAGGACAUGUGGACAGUAUGGGAGUGAGAAUGUUGGCAUGAGUAGCGAGAUGUGGGUGAGAAUCCCACAGGCCGUAAACCCAAGGUUUCCAGGGGAAGGUUCGUCCGCCCUGGGUUAGUCGGGACCUAAGCUGAGGCCGAAAGGCGUAGGUGAUGGACAACAGGUUGAUAUUCCUGUACUACCGAUAACCGUUUGAGAGAAGGGAUGACACAGUAGGAUAAGCUAAGCACACUGUUGGUUAUGUGUGCCCAAGCAUUGAGGCAGUCAAAGUAGGCAAAUCCGCUUUGAUAAUGCUGGGAUGUGAUGGGGAGCGAAAUUUAGUAGCGAAGUAGCUGAUUUCACACUGUCAAGAAAAGUCUCUAUCGAGGUUAAAGGUACCCGUACCGCAAACCGACACAGGUGGGUGAGGAGAGUAUCCUAAGGCCAGCGAGAGAACUGUUGUUAAGGAACUCGGCAAAAUGACCCCGUAACUUAGGGAUAAGGGGUGCCACCAUCAGGUGGCCGCAGAGAAUAGGCCCAAGCGACUGUUUACCAAAAACAUAGGUUUCUGCUAAGUCGCAAGACGAUGUAUAGGAGCUGACGCCUGCCCGGUGCUGGAAGGUUAAGGGGAUCUGUUAGAGCAAUCGAAGCAGUGAACUUAAGCCCCAGUAAACGGCGGCCGUAACUAUAACGGUCCUAAGGUAGCGAAAUUCCUUGUCGGGUAAGUUCCGACCCGCACGAAAGGCGUAACGAUUUGGGCACUGUCUCAACAACAGACUCGGUGAAAUUGUAAUUCCGGUGAAGAUGCCGGAUACCUGCGACAGGACGGAAAGACCCCAUGGAGCUUUACUGUAGCUUGACAUUGGGUCUUGGUACUACAUGUACAGGAUAGGUGGGAGGCUUUGAAACCAGGACGCCAGUUUUGGCGGAGCCAUCCUUGGGAUACCACCCUUGUAGUACUGGGACUCUAACCAUAGGCCAUGAAUCUGGUCUUGGGACACUGUCAGGUGGGCAGUUUGACUGGGGCGGUCGCCUCCCAAAAGGUAACGGAGGCGCUCAAAGGUUCUCUCAGUACGGUCGGAAAUCGUACGUAGAGUGUAAAGGCAAAAGAGAGCUUGAUUGCAAGACAUACAGGUCGAGCAAGGAUGAAAAUCGGACUUAGUGAUCCGGUGGUUCUGCGUGGAAGGGCCAUCGCUCAACGGAUAAAAGCUACCCUGGGGAUAACAGGCUUAUCUCCCCCAAGAGUCCACAUCGACGGGGAGGUUUGGCACCUCGAUGUCGGCUCAUCACAUUCCUGGGGCUGUAGUAGGUCCCAAGGGUUGGGCUGUUCGCCCAUUAAAGUGGUACGCGAGCUGGGUUCAGAACGUCGUGAGACAGUUCGGUCCCUAUCCGUCGCAGGCGUAGGAAAUUUGAGAAGACCUGUCCUUAGUACGAGAGGACCGGGAUGGACGUACCUCUGGUGUACCAGUUGUUCUGCCAAGGGCAUGGCUGGGUAGCUAUGUACGGAAUGGAUAAGCGCUGAAAGCAUCUAAGCGCGAAGCCAACUUCAAGAUAAGAUUUCCCACCGCAAGGGUAAGACCCCAGAAAGACUAUCUGGUUGAUAGGUCGAAGGUGUAAGUGCAGCAAUGUAUUUAGCUUAUCGAUACUAAUAGGUCGAGGACUUGACCAA
rnacentral:rRNA from 1 species